rnacentral:rRNA from 1 species
GACGAACGCUGGCGGCGUGCUUAAUACAUGCAAGUCGAACGGAAAGGCCCUGCUCUUGCUGGGCGCUCGAUAGGCGAACGGGUGUGUAACACGUGAGUAUCCCGCCCCUGUCUUUGGGAUAACUCCACGGAACAGGGGCUAAAAUCGGAUAGAAGCUCCUGAACCAUGUGGUGGGUUGGUAAGAUUCGGCUGUAGUGGCUGGUCUCGCUGCUUACCAGCCUGUUGGGGGGGUAGGGGCGUACCAAGCCUUCGACGGGUAGCCGGCCUGGGAGGGUGACCGGCGACAAUGGGACUGAGAUACGGACCAGAAUCGUACGGGAGGCAGCAGGCGGGAAUAUUGCACAGUGGGCGGAAGCCUGAUGCAGCGGCGUCGCGUGCGGGAUGACGGCCUUCGGGUUGUGAACCGCUUUCGCAUGAGACGAGGCGUGAUUGACGGUACUGGGUAAAGAAGCCCCGGCUAACUACGUG